AUCUAGCUAACGAGUUACAAAUAGAACGAAACGCGCGUCUUGGAU
rnacentral:hammerhead_ribozyme from 1 species